UACGAAGGGGGCUAGCGUUGCUCGGAAUCACUGGGCGUAAAGGGUGCGUAGGCGGGUCUUUAAGUCAGGGGUGAAAUCCUGGAGCUCAACUCCAGAACUGCCUUUGAUACUGAGGAUCUUGAGUCCGGGAGAGGUGAGUGGAACUGCGAGUGUAGAGGUGAAAUUCGUAGAUAUCGGGAAGAACACCCGUGGCGAAGGCGGCUCUCUGGGACGGUACUGACGCUGAGGUGCGAAAGCGUGGGGAGCAAGCAGG
rnacentral:rRNA from 1 species